GAAAUGCGAUAAGUAAUGUGAAUUGCAGAAUUCAGUGAAUCAUCGAAUCUUUGAACGCACAUUGCGCCCGCCAGUAUUCUGGCGGGCAUGCCUGUCCGAGCGUCAUUUCAACCAUCAAGCCCCCGGGCUUGUGUUGGGGACCUGCGGCUGCCCGCAGGCCCUGAAAACCAGUGGCGGGCUCGCUGUCACACCGAGCGUAGUAGCAAUCACCUCGCUCAGGGCGUGCUGCGGGUUCCGGCCGUUAAACAGCCUUACAAAACCCAAGGAUGACCUCGGAUCAGGUAGGAAGACCCGCUGAACUUAAGC
rnacentral:misc_RNA from 1 species